GCAGACUACAAUUCAACAAACAACACAUGAAAGUUGCAUUGUCCUUUAAUUUUUUCAAUUUUUGAGAGUGCAAUUAUAGUACUAGAAAUCAUCGAUCAAACUUACCAGGAAAUAGUUUGCGAUGCACUUCACAAUCGACAUUCGACUCUUUUGGCAGAAUCACGUGCGCAGGUGAGGAUGACACGGACCAAUAAGACCGACGGCCGUGACUUUGAUCGCUCCCAUCGCCGCCAGUAGAUGAAUGAAAGAUGAUCAAUCAGCUUCGCCAAUUUGCCAAUCACGCGGGGAACGCGAAAUGGAUCAUCGCAACGCAUCGCGGCAGUUCAUCAAAGUACAAAGUUGAGAGAAACACGCGCCAACGCCCCAACGAUGAUGGGAUCUGCCGUUAAUAAUCACCCCUCAACUGAUUGUGCGGGAUAUUGUCCCCAGGGCUGAGUACCGCAACGAUGGGACGUAGACCAACCGGGAGCAGCUGUUGCAGUAAACAAACAAGCGGCGGGCCUGGCGUGUCGCAUCCAUUUGGUGAUGAUGCAAAUUUUACCCGUGAAAGUGUUAACUGACCAGCAAACACCAUCUUCUUUGGUAAGUCGCGAUUCAUUUGAUUUCUAUUCCACCUCGAUGCCAUUUGAAGGUUUCAUUAUAUUCCGUCGUCACGGAGACUCCAACUGAUGACGGUGUACGAACGUAGCGAUGACAAUCUCAUUCACAAAGCUGAGCUAGUACAUUAUUGGCACAAAUGGCGUGUUGCCUAGCUAUAGAGACAGCACCGCCUUGUUUAUCUGCACGAAAUAAUUGUAUUAUUAUUCCAGUCAUCUAUUUUCUCGUGUACGUGUGUCUGGUUAUUUGCGGACGAGUUGCAUCCGCUCCUAAUAAUAGCUUAGUCAAGCUCUAUAAACAAAACAAAACAUUUGCAAUCUGCCCGCUCUCUGCCCCGGUUAUAUCGAAAGUAGAAGAAGAAUUGUUUAUUCCUCCUGCUGGCAAACGCCCAUCAGCAUCAUCAUAUACAGCGGAGGACUCUUUGGUGAGCUCUGCUGUUGCCCCAGACUAUACGUAUACUCAAAAGCAAUUUCCUCUCUACUUGCCUUCCCUUAUAGACUUGUGUAUAGCAACUACUAUGUGUAGAACCGUGUUGUUGCCUUAGCAUUGAAGGUGUGUAUAGUACACAAUGAAGAUGAUGAUGUGGCGCCUUCCAGGAGCGACUCUACAUAGCGAUGUGCGUGUUUGCCAUUGAAAAGAAAAGCAAAGUGUGUAUACAGCCUCUCUUUCUUGAACUCGCCAUUAUAUAUGUGAUGUGUACACUAUUCUGUACGACAUACCAUAAGGCCCUACACAUGUAUACACAUGACGGGCUAUUUUUGGACAGCUUUUUUGUGUAAACUUGGUUUUUCCUCCCCUGGAAAUUUUGAUUUGUUUUUUUGUGUUUUGUUUCCUUCGAUCAAAAUGAUGUGGAUGUCAUUUUAUUGCAUGGCAACUAUCAAGGCAAUUAGGAUGCAAUUUCAAAAAGGAAUGUUUUUAAUUGACGGUGAGUUGACCGAUGACGUUGUAGCGAUUUUGCUUGUCCUGGACGUUAUUCCCAUUGGCGAAAAGGAUCCGGUACUUGGCUUUGUCUUUCAGUGUAGACGAGCCAUCGGGCAGGUUCAAAAUGACGUCAUACUUGCCGGGGACGACAUCCGACGGCAAUUGAACCGACAGGUCGAUGGAUUUCGUCUCACCGGGGGCAAAUUUGCGAGGAUCAAUGUUCUCCUGGGCGUACGGCCCGUACGGUUUCGAUGAUUGCUUGUUUCUCAAAAGAACCUGAUCAAUCCAAUAAUGAUUGAAAAUCAAUCGAAAUUAAAUUGAUUAUUUAGAUCCGUCAAACCUCAACAGGGCGUUUGUUGUACAGUGGAGCCACUCCGGAAUUGCGGAUGUUGAGGCUGGCGCAGAAAGUCGAUCCUUUGGCCGCCGUUUUCUGAAGUUUCCCAUCGACCAGUUGGAAACGAUAUCCCAUGUAGUUGCCAAUGACGUUUAGGCAUUUACCUUUGGGUUUGUCACUUUGGGUUUUUUUCCACAUGUUGACCGUCUGUA
rnacentral:lncRNA from 1 species